CUACGGAGGGUGCAAACGUUGUUCGGAAUCACUGGGCGUAAAGGGCGCGCAGGCGGUUUGAUUAGUCAGAUGUGAAAGCCCACGGCUUAACCGUGGAAGUGCAUUUGAAACUGUCAGACUUGAGUACCAGAGGGGGUAGUGGAAUUCCCGGUGUAGAGGUGAAAUUCGUAGAUAUCGGGAGGAAUACCGGUGGCGAAGGCGACUACCUGGCUGGAUACUGACGCUGAGGCGCGAAAGCGUGGGGAGCAAACAGGAUUAGAAACCCUAGUAGUCC
rnacentral:rRNA from 1 species